rfam:Ictidomys tridecemlineatus contig002057, whole genome shotgun sequence.
GGAGUUGUGGCUCAGUGGCAGAGCACUUGCCUUAUACACGUGAGGCACUGGGUUCAAUCCUCAGCACCA